AAGAGAUUCUUCAAAAACUUAAUUUUCCCAUUCAAUUAUUAUGUCGUUUGCUGACAAACAAAAAAUUAUUAUGUCGUUUUUGCAACUUCCACUGACGUUUCCAGGAAAAUAACAAAAAUAGAUCUUUUCUUAUAUCAAUAAUGACGACAAUAAGUCAAAAGAUUAUUUAUAUCUCACAUAGAUAGGAUGGAUGUGCUUUCGAGUUUAUACAAAAUGCAAAAGGAAAACACUUACCGCUUUCUCUCUCAUCUCUGUUCUCUCUCUUGCAUGAGAAAGCGGUUGAGUUUUGGUCGACGCCGGUUCCUCUUUCCGGCUUCGAUGUGUGACAUAGUCACCAGAUCAUUUCCGGUUGCAGUUUCCCGAUAGUUCGGGCAUUGACUCUGGGGAGAGGUGGUUCACAUAACAUCAUCUCCUACGGCUUUCAUCUCCAGGAAGAGAUCGGAGUUUUAGAUUCAAUCGUAAGCAGUUGUAAUUCCUUCUUCAAAUCGUAGAUCCGUCAGAGUUGAUUCGCCGUCUUGAGUUUAAGGGAUGUUCUGUUUGAGCGGCUUCUUCUCCAGUUUGGCUUCGCUGAAGGCGGAGCUCCGGCGUGCAUGCUCUCUGGCUCCGGAGGAAGCUCGUGCCUUCCAUUUGUGAUGCGUGUUCAUUGGGCGACGGGCGUCCGGACACGUGGUGGAUGGAGCUGGCAUCUUUCUCUUCAGUUUUUCUUCGGGCUUAAGGCCCAUAAGUUGUGUUGUAUUGUGGCCUAUUGUUUAGGCUUGUCUUUCUUUUAGUGGCUUUUAUUGGUCUUUUUGUGUUUGUGUUGUUGUUGGGUUUCGUUUUUUUUGGGCUUAGUCUCUUUAAUAAAAUUUCAGUGGAAAAAAAAAAA